GCAAAGAUGAGAGCAAAGGCAUUGGAGGAGACAUGGUCGAGGGAAGCGGCAACAAGAAGCACAUAAUUCUCGUCCAUGGCGCUUGCCAUGGAGCAUGGUCUUGGCACAAGGUGACGACGCUGUUGAGGUCCGCGGGGUACCAGGUCACGGCGCUGGACCUCGCGGCCUCCGGCGUCGACGAGCGGCGGUUCCAAGACCUGAGCACGUUCACCGACUACACGCAACCACUGUUGGACGUAGUGGCUUCCCUUCCACCUGGUGAGAGGGUCGUCCUCGUAGGCCACAGCCUCGGAGGCAUGAAUAUUGCUCUGGCCAUGGACAGGUUCCCCGAGAAGAUCGCUGCCGCGGUGUUUGUCGCCGCCUUCAUGCCCGAUUCCGUCAACCCGCCUUCCUACCUCCUCGACAAGGUACGCCGUUCUGCUAAGAUCUGUCACCCUUCUCAUCUUUGUCCUGGCUGCAAUCCCAGUUCCCGCUGAUGUAUGCCUUCUGCUACUUGCCUGCUACACCGACAGCUUAAACAGGAGAAUACCAUGUCAUAUUGGCUUGACACUCAAUUUGGGUUAGCCGUCGGGGAAAGAGAGAGAGGCCCGACUUCCAUGCUGUUUGGUCCCCAGUUUUUGUCCAAGCUUUACAAGCUCAGCCCACCCGAGGUACGUAUCCACGCACCACCGUUCAUGUUCUGCGAGUCAUUCUACUGCUAUGUCUGAACACAACAGCUGAGUAAUCGUGAGCUUCUCGGAAGGAUCUCACGCUGGCGAUGACCCUCGCGAGGCCUUCUUCCUUUUUCCUCGAAGACCUGGUGUCGAUGCCGCCCUUCUCCGAGUCAGGAUACGGGUCGGUCGAGAAGGUCUACGUGGUGUGCGCUCAUGAUGAAGGCAUCAGCGAAGAGUUUCAGCGCUGGAUGAUCAAAAAUAACCCAGUGAAAGUGGUGAAGGAGAUCGAGGAUGCUGACCAUAUGGCCAUGUUCUCAACACCGAAGCAGCUCUUCCAAUGCCUCUCUGAUGUUGUCGAUGCCAGUGCUUGAUCACGUGUUACCUACCUCUUACUUUUCUGUCUCUCCAUCACUUAACAUCUACUGUCAUCGAGACCUCCUUUUUCUUCUCCUUUACCUUUCGCAGACCAAUUGAUGGGAAUGGUCGGCCAGGAAUAAAGUUCGUUUACGUCUGCCCAUUAGUAAUGCCGCAGAUGUGUUUCAUGCGUAAUGUCGUUAUCUUAAUCUGGUCAAAUGAGGUCAAGCUACUCUAUUUAUGAUCCGCGAUGUCAUCAUGUCAUUCAUUGUGAUAUUUUCGGUACGGACCCAUUUAAUUUCGUGAGAGUUAAAAUAUAUAUUAAAUAUUUAUUUUGG
rnacentral:lncRNA from 1 species